rnacentral:rRNA from 1 species
UAAUUUGAGAGUUUGAUCCUGGCUCAGGACGAACGCUGGCGGCGUGCCUAAUACAUGCAAGUCGAACGAACUCUGGUAUUGAUUGGUGCUUGCAUCAUGAUUUACAUUUGAGUGAGUGGCGAACUGGUGAGUAACACGUGGGAAACCUGCCCAGAAGCGGGGGAUAACACCUGGAAACAGAUGCUAAUACCGCAUAACAACUUGGACCGCAUGGUCCGAGUUUGAAAGAUGGCUUCAGCUAUCACUUUUGGAUGGUCCCGCGGCGUAUUAGCUAGAUGGUGGGGUAACGGCUCACCAUGGCAAUGAUACGUAGCCGACCUGAGAGGGUAAUCGGCCACAUUGGGACUGAGACACGGCCCAAACUCCUACGGGAGGCAGCAGUAGGGAAUCUUCCACAAUGGACGAAAGUCUGAUGGAGCAACGCCGCGUGAGUGAAGAAGGGUUUCGGCUCGUAAAACUCUGUUGUUAAAGAAGAACAUAUCUGAGAGUAACUGUUCAGGUAUUGACGGUAUUUAACCAGAAAGCCACGGCUAACUACGUGCCAGCAGCCGCGGUAAUACGUAGGUGGCAAGCGUUGUCCGGAUUUAUUGGGCGUAAAGCGAGCGCAGGCGGUUUUUUAAGUCUGAUGUGAAAGCCUUCGGCUCAACCGAAGAAGUGCAUCGGAAACUGGGAAACUUGAGUGCAGAAGAGGACAGUGGAACUCCAUGUGUAGCGGUGAAAUGCGUAGAUAUAUGGAAGAACACCAGUGGCGAAGGCGGCUGUCUGGUCUGUAACUGACGCUGAGGCUCGAAAGUAUGGGUAGCAAACAGGAUUAGAUACCCUGGUAGUCCAUACCGUAAACGAUGAAUGCUAAGUGUUGGAGGGUUUCCGCCCUUCAGUGCUGCAGCUAACGCAUUAAGCAUUCCGCCUGGGGAGUACGGCCGCAAGGCUGAAACUCAAAGGAAUUGACGGGGGCCCGCACAAGCGGUGGAGCAUGUGGUUUAAUUCGAAGCUACGCGAAGAACCUUACCAGGUCUUGACAUACUAUGCAAAUCUAAGAGAUUAGACGUUCCCUUCGGGGACAUGGAUACAGGUGGUGCAUGGUUGUCGUCAGCUCGUGUCGUGAGAUGUUGGGUUAAGUCCCGCAACGAGCGCAACCCUUAUUAUCAGUUGCCAGCAUUAAGUUGGGCACUCUGGUGAGACUGCCGGUGACAAACCGGAGGAAGGUGGGGAUGACGUCAAAUCAUCAUGCCCCUUAUGACCUGGGCUACACACGUGCUACAAUGGAUGGUACAACGAGUUGCGAACUCGCGAGAGUAAGCUAAUCUCUUAAAGCCAUUCUCAGUUCGGAUUGUAGGCUGCAACUCGCCUACAUGAAGUCGGAAUCGCUAGUAAUCGCGGAUCAGCAUGCCGCGGUGAAUACGUUCCCGGGCCUUGUACACACCGCCCGUCACACCAUGAGAGUUUGUAACACCCAAAGUCGGUGGGGUAACCUUUUAGGAACCAGCCGCCUAAGGUGGGACAGAUGAUUAGGGUGAAGUCGUAACAAGGUAGCCGUAGGAGAACCUGCGGCUGGAUCACCUCCUUU